rnacentral:lncRNA from 1 species
ACUCUUCUAGCUGCUCCAGCCUGGUACUCUGGCCCCACUCUCUUCUUCAUCUUCCUUCACCUUCUUUUUGACUCUGGAAAGCCUCCCCCAAAGCCCAGGACAAAGAUGACUUUUGGAAGAUUGCCCAAAACGAUAGCUAGAGUGUGCCCUGGGCUCUGGGAGAUGGAGGAGAGAGGCGACAGGAGGAGUCAAUGGUUUGCCCAGUGCUGCGGGGAGGCGCUUUGCACGCUCUAGAUCGCAAGCCAAACGUCUAGUGCCAAGAGCUGUCAGGCAAAAGACUGGUCAGCUGGAGAGACUUCUCGGGACGCGGAGAGGUAGAACAGGUUUGCAGAGCGCUGGCAACCUCGGUUGACACUAAGGAUCUAUUGCCCCGCGCGCGCGCGAUGCGUGAGCUGAAUUGGGAUGGAAGGGCCUGUUGAAGAGCCAGGGAAGCAGCGUUUAGGAGAGAGUUUUCCGAGGCCACGCCGUGACGGUCGACAUUAAUAUUAGUGGAAAGACGCGUGCCCCGCAGUAAGAUCAUGAAAAGGGAUCCAGGAAAUGAAAGAGGAGAGGCAAGAAGGUAAGAAACACCCACGCGUUCCUCAGAAAUUGCGUGGGGAUGGGUGUCUUUAGUGGUUCAGGACUGUCAAGCUGACUCUGAGACUAUAGAAGAGACCACGCUAAUGCAACCCUCUACAACGGCAUCCUUAAACCCAGCAGAGCGGAAAGCUAAUGCCCUUUCCUUUCCGCCCGGAUGCAAGACUGGAUGGAAGGCAUCCAACAUGAUGAAAUACGGUGCAGAAGAAUGGUCUGGGCAGAAGGAGCGCUGGGUACUAAAGUUGCAUGACCAAAGAGAUCCGAGAGCUGUCUGCCACACCCCCUUCCUGCCUGGUUCCCUUUCUGACUGCCCUGGUCGCUCCCUUGGACUAUGAUGAACACGACUGCAGCGCCCCCUGCUGUGGGGAAGCUACAGGGCACAGAAAACACGUCCUUGCAGGGCUGACUUCCAACUUCCCCUUUUGCACCUAACCAGCAAGCUCUUCAAAGAUAAUAAGGAAAGUGGACUCCCUGGGUAUGUGGCAGCGAUCUGAAAAGUUUGAACGCCUGCAGAAUAAGGAUGUCUGACUUCACAAAGAAAUCGUUUGGAAACUGACAAAUAUUUUACAACUUCAAAAGUAUUUAAAACUUAGCCUGCAAAAUAAAAACAUCUUCAUAAAAGUUAUGAAGACCCCGUUCUAAAGUAUACAAGCUAAAGAACUGAUUAUGUACCACAAAAGCUGUGAAGCUGAGAUCUUAAUUUUCUUGGCACUGGGUUGCAGCCCUUGGGUUGAAGAGAGCAAACGGCUGCUGAGGGCCAUGGCCAUGCACAAGGAACAACAAAUGGUCUUAAAACUCAUGGAAUGUUGUCCACUGGUUACCACAGCCACGCUGGAUUUUCCUCGGUAGGGAAUGACCCCGAGGAUCACGUGUCCUGAGGACUUCAUGCUGUAAUGGAGUUCUGCUCUGCUUGCUGCCCUCACAUCACUCUUAAUCUAAGAGAACUCUAAAGAGGCUUGCAGACUCUCACUGGGCAGUAUCUCUGGCACUCACAACAACAUUGCUUGAUUCCUUUCAGGCAUUGCUGCUGGAAGAGAUUCAACUGAUUCAACACCACCCUAGAAAAGAAUCUAGAGACAUAGAUUGUAAGUUAUGACAGCCGCCCUUGGAAAGCAUUUGGAAAAAUAAAAUUGUGAGUGAAGCUAGGUUAAGAUGCUUUUGCUACAGGCUCCCAGUGUAGAAAAUCUUAGGGAACAAUUUGAAGUUCAAAAAGGCACACUUUUAUUUGUUAAGCUAGGGACCUUUUAUGGUCAGGGAAUAAGAACAAUGGCAGCACUGGCUGAUGAUUCACAAUGAGGCUGGACUGAUGAUUUCUUUCUUUCUUCCUUUCUUUCUCUCUCUGUCUUUCUUUCUUUCUUCCUUUCUUUCUUCUUUCUUUCCUUCCUCCCUUCCUUCCUUCCUUCCUCCCUUCUUUCCUUCUUUCUUCUUCUUUCCUUCUUCCUUUCUUUCUUUCUUAAUUUCUUUCUUUCUUUCCAUUUAUUUAUUUAUUUAUUUAUUUAUUACUUAUUCACUUUAUAUCCUUCUCACUUCCCCCUUUCUGGUCACCCUCUCCCACAAUCCUUCCUCCAUCCUCCAUCUCCUUCUCUUCUAGGCAGAUGAGAGUCCCCUUGGCUAUCCCCCCACUCUGAUACUUCAAGUCUCUGCCAGGCUAGGUGCUUCCUUUCCCACCGAGGCCAGACAAAGUAACCCAGCUAGAAGACCAUAUCUCACAUAUAGGCAGCAGCUUUUGGGGUAGCUCCCAUUCCUAUUAUUCAGGAUCCGCAUGAAGACCAAGCUGUCCAUCUGCUAUAUGUGAGCUGGAAGAGCUAGUUCCAGCCAGUGUAUGUUCUUUGGUUGGAAGCUGAGGCUCUUAGAGCCUCAAGGGUCCAGAUUAGUUGACUUUGUUGGUCUUCUUGUGGAGUUCGAUCCCCAUCAGGACCCACAGUCCUUCCUCCUAUUCUUCCAUGAGUCCCCAAGCUCCAUCCACAGUUUGACUUUGUGUGUCUAUAUCUAUCUGAGUCAGCUGCUGGGUGGAGCCUCUCAGAGGACAGCCAUGCUAGACUCCUGUCUGCAAGUAUAACAGAGUAUCAUUAAUAGUGUUAGGGAUUGGUACUUGCCCAUGGAAUGAAUCUCAAGUUGGGUCAGUUAUUGGUAGGCUAUUCCAAAAAUACCUUAUUUUGCUUUCACCUUUUCUGAUAUGAUUUAAUAAGAAUUGCUGGUGAGGAGAUAUGCAUUCUGAGGAUUUAAAGUAGGUCUGGAUGAUUUUUCUAUAAAAACUGAGAUUUCUGUUUCUUUUAAGAUUCUUAUAAGAAAAUAUUUGAUCUUUUCUUUGUAACCGCAAAUCACUGCCUGCCAGUAAGAGAAACUGGCUGAGAAAACUGUCUUGCUUACUUACACUUUGUUAAUCUAUAGCAAGUUGCUUAGUUACAAAUGUAUGUAGGUUCUUAGGAAUAAUUUUUUUUAACCUGUGCUACCUAACGUUAUUUCUUGUAAAGGUGUUGGGGAACACACUGUUUCUUCAUAGUCAUUUCCUGGAAGAAAACUAGAUCAUAAUCACACUGUAAUUUUAUACUGCUUGAAAGGUUUUGCUGGGAUAUAUAUGCCAUACAAUAAGGAAUAAAGUUGUUGGAACAUUGUUCCUUCCAUCCA